UGGCCCCUGGAGAUCAUACCUCUUCUACAGAAUCAAAGCUAGGGUUUCAAUUCUUCAUCCAAGUAGAGAGGAUCCCUCUAGUUCUUCUAGUUCUACCUCUAGUUCAUCUAGAUCUAGUUCUAGUUCAUCUAGUUCUAGUUCUAGUUCUAGUUCUAGUUAGUUCUAGUUGUAAUCUAGAAAAUAGGGAGAGAGAAGAGGAGAGCGGAGGAGGAGCCGGAUCUGUCGGAUCUUCC
rnacentral:lncRNA from 1 species